rnacentral:lncRNA from 1 species
CAGUCUCCGUAAAACGGCCAUAACUUCCUCCACAGAACUCCGAUUCAGACGAAUCAGGCGGCCACGGAAAGCUCUCUCGAAGACGAAGAAGUCGUAUUUCUGGGCGAAAUACGAUUUGAGGACGUUUGAGGCUUCAAACGAAGGCUUGAACCUGACUGGUCUGUUCAGAUGCGAAUCUGCGAAUUCUUCUGAAUUCUUCAGGUAUUUCUGAACUCCAACGUGCAGCUGUUAAAUUCAUAGGAGCAUGUUAGGAUUAAUCGUUGUAUGAUAAAUUAAUAAUAAUCCAAGAAACGAUCAUCGGGCAAAGCGGAACGUUAAUUCAGUUUAAUAUUCCUUCA